rnacentral:rRNA from 1 species
GCGAUAGGUAAUGUGAAUUGCAGAAUUCAGUGAAUCAUCGAAUCUUUGAACGCAUAUUGCGCCCCUCGGUAUUCCGAGGGGCAUGCCUGUCCGAGCGUCAUUAGCGACACCCUCGGGGUCAUGUCCCCGGCCUUGGGCCUGGUGCCUCCCCGCGAGA